rnacentral:rRNA from 1 species
UACGAAGGGGGCUAGCGUUGCUCGGAAUCACUGGGCGUAAAGGGUGCGUAGGCGGGUCUUUAAGUCAGAGGUGAAAUCCUGGAGCUCAACUCCAGAACUGCCUUUGAUACUGAGGAUCUUGAGUUCGGGAGAGGUGAGUGGAACUGCGAGUGUAGAGGUGAAAUUCGUAGAUAUUCGCAAGAACACCAGUGGCGAAGGCGGCUCACUGGCCCGAUACUGACGCUGAGGCACGGAAAGCGUGGGGAGCAAACAGGG